UUUUGUAUAAUGGGUCAGCGACUUAUAUUCUGUAGCAAGGUUAACCGUAUAGGGGAGCCGAAGGGAAACCGAGUCUUAACUGGGCGUUAAGUUGCAGGGUAUAGACCCGAAACCCGGUGAUCUAGCCAUGGGCAGGUUGAAGGUUGGGUAACACUAACUGGAGGACCGAACCGACUAAUGUUGAAAAAUUAGCGGAUGACCUGUGGCUGGGGGUGAAAGGCCAAUCAAACCGGGAGAUAGCUGGUUCUCCCCGAAAGCU
rnacentral:rRNA from 1 species